rnacentral:rRNA from 1 species
UUACACAUGCAAGUCGAGCGCGAAGGNGACUUGUCACCGGAGAGCGGCGCACGGGUGAGUAACACGUGGAUAACCUGCCUGAGCAUGGGGAAUAACUUGGGGAAACCUGAGCUAAUACCGCAUACGUCCACCGAGUGCUUCUCGGUGAAGAAAGACCGCCUCUUCUUGAAAGCGGUCGUGCUCAGAGGGGUCCGCGGCUGAUUAGCUAGUUGGUGAGGUAAUGGCUCACCAAGGCGACGAUCAGUAGCCGGCCUGAGAGGGUGAUCGGCCACACUGGAACUGAGACACGGUCCAGACUCCUACGGGAGGCAGCAGUGGGGAAUAUUGGACAAUGGGCGCAAGCCUGAUCCAGCAACGCCGCGUGGAGGAUGAAGGCCUUCGGGUUGUAAACUCCUGUCAGGUGGAACGAAAAAGCCUACCCAACAAGUAGGUUCUAUGACGGUACCACCAGAGGAAGCCCCGGCUAACUCUGUGCCAGCAGCCGCGGUAAUACAGAGGGGGCAAGCGUUAUUCGGAAUUAUUGGGCGUAAAGGGCGCGUAGGCGGCAUUGUAAGUCAGGGGUGAAAUCCCUCGGCUCAACCGAGGAAUGGCCUCUGAAACUGCAUUGCUUGAGACCGGGAGAGGGUAGUGGAAUU